UAUACAUAUAAUUCUUUUACCAAAAUGCGUUGCCCCACUUGUGAAGAGAAUUUCGUCAAAAACGGUUCAGUAGAAAUUUAUUCUUUCUGGCAUCGAAAUUUCACAUUAUAAAUCAGGAUGUUGAAAUUAAUCUUGGCAUUUCUUAUGAUUUCAGGAAUUCACGAAAUUAGUGCAAUGCAUUACUUACAGGAAUGUUUUGAGGACGUGGAAGAAAACAUUGUAUUACCAUAUUUCCCAAGUGAAGACGCAUUAAGGAGGUCUUGUUCAGCAUUUCUAGAUGCCUUCCAGUGCUUACACAGGAAGUCAAUAGAAUACAACGGAAUGAGCCUUGAAAGUGUAGCUGAGUUAGAAAGUGGAAAUCAAGCUCUUGGUGCUCGGCUUGCUCUAAAUAUUGAAGGAAUCUUUCAAGAUCUGUGCAAUGAAGAAAGUAACUUUCGCAAAGAUUAUAUUCAAGUUCAAUCCUGUGUCAAACAAUAUUUCCAAAUUGCUCUCAUUCCUGGACAGAAAAUGGAAGAGUGUCAAAGCAAAGCUGCAUUUAAUGCGGUAACUGUAUUAGACUACGACAUGAGCGAAGCAUAUUUUGUUACAAAGGACUGUCUAGAGAAUGCUUACUCUUUUGGCUGCAUACUGGUGGAUCUUCAAAACACAUGUAGCGAAGCUGCUCGAGAACUUACAAUGGAAGUCGUUAGCCGAUUAAUGAAUGAAUUGCCAGAUGAAUGUUCUAAUUUAAUUACAACCGAAAUAAAAAACACAUUCCUUGCAUCCUUGCUUCUGGAAGAUGAACAGAGAAGAAUUUACUCUUCAGCACUUGAGAUAUUUCUGACGAAAUAAAUUCAAAAUACUCUUCUGUAAGAAAGUAGAUGAGCUGUGCUGUGGAGGUAAUUUUACAAAGAGCAGAGGCCAGAUAUUUUCUCCUUUUUAUCCCCAUAUCUACGAACGUAUCAAGUGCACUUAUACUAUUGGAAAAGCUGGCGAGUCCAUAGAAAUACAGUUUGAUGAUUAUCUUAGUUCCCACUUUGAUCAAAAAGUAAAUGUGAAUUGUACGUCUGCUUAUUUGGAAAUAUACGAGCAAGAAGUAGCUGAAACCAACAAGCGAGGCAAAUACUGUGGAGACAACCCACCACAAGAUAGUUACACUUUACUUGCACCCAUUACGAUAAAAUACAAAAAUUCUUUAAGCAAAUCUCAUGGAUUUAUGUUAAGAUACGAAAUUAUAGAUCCAAAGGAGGCGGUGUCAUAGUUCCAUUGAUAGUCGAAUAACAGAGAAGACAUUCGUCAUUCAUGUUGCUGAAUAUAUCUGUGAAAAAUACAGUAGUUUUGAACUAUAACAUUAUAGAAUUAAUUAAAAAAUUUUAUAUUAAAACUGUGGGCACUGUGGUAAUGUCUGAAACUUAUAUAUCCUGCAAACGUAUUUCUCUAUUCUUCUGGUAUGUGAAGUGUCAAUGUUUGUUAAGUGAUUUAAAAUCAAUUUCUGCAAAAAAAUGUUUCUAGAGAUUCUGAUAUUUUAACUUCUAUAAUUUUGU